rnacentral:rRNA from 1 species
GUGGAUUAGAUACCCUAGUAGUCCACGCCGUAAACGAUGGAUGCUAGCCGUUGGCGGGUUUACUCGUCAGUGGCGCAGCUAACGCAUUAAGCAUCCCGCCUGGGGAGUACGGUCGCAAGAUUAAAACUCAAAGGAAUUGACGGGGGCCCGCACAAGCGGUGGAGCAUGUGGUUCAAUUCGAAGCAACGCGCAGAACCUUACCAGCCCUUGACAUCCCGGUCGCGGGAACCAGAGAUGGAUCCCUUCAGUUCGGCUGGACCGGAGACAGGUGCUGCACGGCCGUCGACAGCU